GGGUUGUGAGGUUAAGCGACUAAGCGUACACGGUGGAUGCCCUGGCAGUCAGAGGCGAUGAAGGACGUGCUAAUCUGCGAUAAGCGUCGGUAAGGUGAUAUGAACCGUUAUAACCGGCGAUUUCCGAAUGGGGAAACCCAGUGUGUUUCGACACACUAUCAUUAACUGAAUCCAUAGGUUAAUGAGGCGAACCGGGGGAACUGAAACAUCUAAGUACCCCGAGGAAAAGAAAUCAACCGAGAUUCCCCCAGUAGCGGCGAGCGAACGGGGAGGAGCCCAGAGCCUGAAUCAGUGUGUGUGUUAGUGGAAGCGUCUGGAAAGGCGCGCGAUACAGGGUGACAGCCCCGUACACAAAAAUGCACAUGCUGUGAGCUCGAUGAGUAGGGCGGGACACGUGGUAUCCUGUCUGAAUAUGGGGGGACCAUCCUCCAAGGCUAAAUACUCCUGACUGACCGAUAGUGAACCAGUACCGUGAGGGAAAGGCGAAAAGAACCCCGGCGAGGGGAGUGAAAAAGAACCUGAAACCGUGUACGUACAAGCAGUGGGAGCCUCUUUAUGGGGUGACUGCGUACCUUUUGUAUAAUGGGUCAGCGACUUAUAUUCUGUAGCAAGGUUAACCGAAUAGGGGAGCCGAAGGGAAACCGAGUCUUAACUGGGCGUUAAGUUGCAGGGUAUAGACCCGAAACCCGGUGAUCUAGCCAUGGGCAGGUUGAAGGUUGGGUAACACUAACUGGAGGACCGAACCGACUAAUGUUGAAAAAUUAGCGGAUGACUUGUGGCUGGGGGUGAAAGGCCAAUCAAACCGGGAGAUAGCUGGUUCUCCCCGAAAGCUAUUUAGGUAGCGCCUCGUGAACUCAUCUCCGGGGGUAGAGCACUGUUUCGGCAAGGGGGUCAUCCCGACUUACCAACCCGAUGCAAACUGCGAAUACCGGAGAAUGUUAUCACGGGAGACACACGGCGGGUGCUAACGUCCGUCGUGAAGAGGGAAACAACCCAGACCGCCAGCUAAGGUCCCAAAGUCAUGGUUAAGUGGGAAACGAUGUGGGAAGGCCCAGACAGCCAGGAUGUUGGCUUAGAAGCAGCCAUCAUUUAAAGAAAGCGUAAUAGCUCACUGGUCGAGUCGGCCUGCGCGGAAGAUGUAACGGGGCUAAACCAUGCACCGAAGCUGCGGCAGCGACGCUUAUGCGUUGUUGGGUAGGGGAGCGUUCUGUAAGCCUGUGAAGGUGUGCUGUGAGGCAUGCUGGAGGUAUCAGAAGUGCGAAUGCUGACAUAAGUAACGAUAAAGCGGGUGAAAAGCCCGCUCGCCGGAAGACCAAGGGUUCCUGUCCAACGUUAAUCGGGGCAGGGUGAGUCGACCCCUAAGGCGAGGCCGAAAGGCGUAGUCGAUGGGAAACAGGUUAAUAUUCCUGUACUUGGUGUUACUGCGAAGGGGGGACGGAGAAGGCUAUGUUGGCCGGGCGACGGUUGUCCCGGUUUAAGCGUGUAGGCUGGUUUUCCAGGCAAAUCCGGAAAAUCAAGGCUGAGGCGUGAUGACGAGGCACUACGGUGCUGAAGCAACAAAUGCCCUGCUUCCAGGAAAAGCCUCUAAGCAUCAGGUAACAUCAAAUCGUACCCCAAACCGACACAGGUGGUCAGGUAGAGAAUACCAAGGCGCUUGAGAGAACUCGGGUGAAGGAACUAGGCAAAAUGGUGCCGUAACUUCGGGAGAAGGCACGCUGAUAUGUAGGUGAAGUCCCUCGCGGAUGGAGCUGAAAUCAGUCGAAGAUACCAGCUGGCUGCAACUGUUUAUUAAAAACACAGCACUGUGCAAACACGAAAGUGGACGUAUACGGUGUGACGCCUGCCCGGUGCCGGAAGGUUAAUUGAUGGGGUCAGCGCAAGCGAAGCUCUUGAUCGAAGCCCCGGUAAACGGCGGCCGUAACUAUAACGGUCCUAAGGUAGCGAAAUUCCUUGUCGGGUAAGUUCCGACCUGCACGAAUGGCGUAAUGAUGGCCAGGCUGUCUCCACCCGAGACUCAGUGAAAUUGAACUCGCUGUGAAGAUGCAGUGUACCCGCGGCAAGACGGAAAGACCCCGUGAACCUUUACUAUAGCUUGACACUGAACAUUGAGCCUUGAUGUGUAGGAUAGGUGGGAGGCUUGGAAGUGUGGACGCCAGUCUGCAUGGAGCCGACCUUGAAAUACCACCCUUUAAUGUUUGAUGUUCUAACGUUGACCCGUAAUCCGGGUUGCGGACAGUGUCUGGUGGGUAGUUUGACUGGGGCGGUCUCCUCCUAAAGAGUAACGGAGGAGCACGAAGGUUGGCUAAUCCUGGUCGGACAUCAGGAGGUUAGUGCAAUGGCAUAAGCCAGCUUGACUGCGAGCGUGACGGCGCGAGCAGGUGCGAAAGCAGGUCAUAGUGAUCCGGUGGUUCUGAAUGGAAGGGCCAUCGCUCAACGGAUAAAAGGUACUCCGGGGAUAACAGGCUGAUACCGCCCAAGAGUUCAUAUCGACGGCGGUGUUUGGCACCUCGAUGUCGGCUCAUCACAUCCUGGGGCUGAAGUAGGUCCCAAGGGUAUGGCUGUUCGCCAUUUAAAGUGGUACGCGAGCUGGGUUUAGAACGUCGUGAGACAGUUCGGUCCCUAUCUGCCGUGGGCGCUGGAGAACUGAGGGGGGCUGCUCCUAGUACGAGAGGACCGGAGUGGACGCAUCACUGGUGUUCGGGUUGUCAUGCCAAUGGCACUGCCCGGUAGCUAAAUGCGGAAGAGAUAAGUGCUGAAAGCAUCUAAGCACGAAACUUGCCCCGAGAUGAGUUCUCCCUGACUCCUUGAGAGUCCUGAAGGAACGUUGAAGACGACGACGUUGAUAGGCCGGGUGUGUAAGCGCAGCGAUGCGUUGAGCUAACCGGUACUAAUGAACCGUGAGGCUUAACCUUACAACGCCGAAG
rnacentral:rRNA from 1 species